rnacentral:rRNA from 1 species
GACGAACGCUGGCGGCAGGCCUAACACAUGCAAGUCGAGCGAGCGGCGGACGGGUGAGUAAUGUAUGGGGACUGCCCGAUAGAGGGGGAUAACUACUGGAAACGGUGGCUAAUACCGCAUACUAUCGGAUAACCCAUAUGGGAUUAGCUAGUAGGUGGGGUAAAGGCUCACCUAGGCGACGAUCUCUAGCUGGUCUGAGAGGAUGAUCAGCCACAUGGGUAAUGAGACACGGCCCAGACUCCUACGGAGGAAGAAGUGGGGAAUAUUGCACAAUGGUGGAAAGCCUGAUGCAGCAAUGCCGCGUGUAUGAAGAAGGCCUUAGGGUUGUAAAGUACUUUAAGCGGGGAGGCGUUACCCGAAGAAGAAGCACCGGCUAACUCCGUGCCAGCAGCCGCGGUAAUAC